GAUAGUGUAUGCAAGUGGUCAAAGCACCUCGACUUAAGAUCGAGUCCCUUACGGGUUCGCGGGUUCGACCCCCGUCGCUAUCAC
rnacentral:tRNA from 1 species